GAUGAAGAACGCAGCGAAAUGCGAUAAGUAGUGUGAAUUGCAGAAUUCAGUGAAUCAUCGAAUCUUUGAACGCACAUUGCGCCCCUUGGUAUUCCAUGGGGCAUGCCUGUUCGAGCGUCAUUUGUACCUUCAAGCUUUGCUUGGUGUUGGGUGUUUGUCCUGAGGGACUCGCCUUAAAGUGAUUGGCAGCCAGUGUUUGGUUUUGAAGCGCAGCACAAGUCGCGAUUCAAAGCUAUACGCCCGCUUCCACAAGCCUUUUUCACUUUUGACCUCGGAUCAGGUAGGGAUACCCGCUGAACUUAAGCAUAUCAAUAGCGGAGGA
rnacentral:misc_RNA from 1 species